AGCUUUUGGCAGUGGCAGUAUCAUAGCCAAUGAGGUUUAUCUGAGGUACGAUUAUUGCUAAUAGG
rnacentral:snRNA from 1 species